AAAAAAAAACAGAGAAAACGACGACGAGCCAGAUGUGAGAAGCAGGAGAACGUAACCGAGUGCCAUUCUGUCCAAGCAAAAAAAAAAGAAAAAAGAACCGAGAGCCAGAUGCAGAGGUGGCAGUGGUAUUGAGAUUCUGAGAGGACGAAGAAGGUGGUGUUGGUAGGGAUCGAGCAAGGAGACCAUCAGAGAUGGGAGAGGUGGUGGAAACCCUAGAGGGCCAUAGAAGGUCGGUGGCAGCUCCUCUCGUCUUCAUACUCGUCGUCGUUUUCCAAUUUGUUUCCAGGUGGCUGCAACAGUUGAAAAAGUUACUUGCUUCAACGAAUAUCGAUACGCAUUUAAGCAAUUAAUGGCCUUCAACAUUUGCACAAGCUGCAAAGCUAAGGAGGAUGGCAGCUGCUAAGGAGAAAGAACUUGCAAAUUGUACUAGUUGCUGCAACUCCACCCAUUCAAUUAUGUUUA